rnacentral:lncRNA from 1 species
GUUGAUCUCAAGUUAAUUGGUUAUAAAUUAACCUUGGGAGGCUGUUUGUGUGAAGCAGAUUAUGUGCACGCAGCUUUGUGAAGGUUGUUAGUGAAGCAAACUGUAGGAAAGAAAGGCGGAAACAGGGAUGCAUGACACAAUUCAAAUUGCCUGAAAUGCCUGUAACAAACAGUUGGUUUGUGCGUCUGUCAGUUCUCUUUAGAAAACAUGCAAGAAAAACCUCAGGAAAGUUUAUUUGGGCCACCUGCAAUAAUAAAAUUGAAGUGAUCCAAGCCUGAAAAUAACACCGUGCGUCUCCAAGGUGAUCUCACUAAUCACUUUUUAAGAAUCCAGCAUCCAGGGUUAAUCAACAUGAGCUGAAUUGCAGUAAAGGUUCCUACAGCAGUGGAAAAAUCCUGUGUAACUCCCUUUCCUCAAGUUAUCCUCUUGGAUAGUGGGGUUUAUCCUCUGCCUGAAUUCUGCCCAAAUCCUCAUGAUCCCUGCAAAGCCAAGACCUCUUUCCAAAGAGCUUCUGCCUCUCGGGGCCUUUGUCUAUUUGACUAGGCAGAUCUUCCAAUAGUUGAUUUUCUGUCUGGCAUUCAAACUAAAAGCUAAAAAAGCAUGAUACAGGUUAACCCCAAAACCCUCAUGGGAAUGGAAAGGGAGAUUCCCAGGAAACUU